rnacentral:rRNA from 1 species
UCCCUACGGGGUGCACCAGGAGCGAAACCUCCGCAACGCACGCAACUGCGACGGGGGGACCCCAAGUGCCACUCUUAACGGGGUGGCUUCAUGAGGAAAAAGCUCUAGCAACGUAUUCA